CAGCCGCUCCCACUGUAACGGCCAAUCGCCAUAAGCAACCAGCCACUGUCUAUCAGGGAGCCACUAACGACGGACUGGCAGCCGCGGGGUCCUUUUGGUGCUAAAGUUCUGGGGCGAUUCCUGAUCAGAGGGCGGGACCAGCCUAAAGAGCGCCCUCUCCAGUGUCCCUCAGAGGAAAGGACGCUCAGUAGGGAGCAAGAUGGCUUCCUGUUGCCAGAUCGACCGUCAGAGCAAAUUUACAACCCUUCCACUCACCCGACCCCAACCCCGUUAUCUCACCAUAAAGAUAUAACCCCAAAAUAAAUGUUUUGUAAAUUUGUUUUAUACCUCAUUUUUAGUUUUUUUUGUUUUUUUUUCUACUGUAUUUUUGUACGUGAGUUGUUUUUCUAUCUAUUAAAGCUACAGAACAAUGAAAUCAGAUUUGUAAAUGUAUGUGAUUGUAGGUUUUUCUGUUGUUUAAAGCCAAAGAAGAAUGACAUGAAGAGCUUUAAAAAAGUUUCUUUUUGGGUCAGCCGGCCACACUGGCUUUUAAAUUGUAUUAUUUAGCAUUCAGGGUGGAUUCUGGACAGAAAACAGGAAUAGUUGAGAAUGAGAGAUGAGAACACUGAUGCCACUCUCAUGUCUGUAUGUUACAUAUGAAGUUAGAGCAAAGUGACGGUUAGCUUUAACAGUUAGAAAACAGCAAGCUUGGCUCCAUCCAAAAAGCUACCAGCCCUUCUAAAGCUCACAAACACGUCAUAUCUUGUUUAAUACGUGCAGAAAGUGGAAAGUAGAUACAAUUUUGUUUUUAAGGGGAGUUAGUGGUCAAUUCUGGGCAGGUAGCCAGGCUAGCUGUUUCCCCCUGCUUUCAGCCACUAUGCUAGGCUAAGCUAAUCGUUACCCGGCUGUAGAGUGGUGUCGGUCUUUUCAUGUAACUCUCAGCAAGAAAACAAUAUUCCCAAAAAUGUCAAACUAUAAGAACAACUGAGGACAAACUGACUCAGUUUUGCUUGUUUUACUUUAAAAUGUGUUUCCGUCGGCUCUGCGUGCCACAGUCAGAUCACAGCGACUUCAGUCCUGCCAUAUUUCUCUGCACUACGAAUCUGUAUUUCACACAAGAUGAAAUGUUAUUCUUUUUUUUUUUGCCAAAUAUUUUUACAUCUUCUACUUUUCAAAUCUUUAUCUUUUUAUAAGAUGUGAUAUUUAUAACAAUAAAAUGUGAUUUGGUACUUGAA